UCUCUGGUGGCUCAGGGGUAAAGAAUCUGCCUGCAAUGCAGGAGAUCCGGGUUCAAUCCCUGGGUUGGGAA
rnacentral:tRNA from 1 species